rfam:Spinacia oleracea cultivar SynViroflay scaffold9668.con0001.1, whole genome shotgun sequence.
CGGCGAAGGUCCCAGCAGGGAGGUGAGAAACUCUGUAAUCGAGACCUCUCUAACACAAUUUUUAACCUUCGCAUAUGAAAUGCCGAAAUAUAAGAUGCCCAGAUGUUUAAUGUUUGGAUCAUCUCGAACCCUCGGCUAAAUUUUG